rnacentral:snRNA from 1 species
GUGCUCUCUUCGGCAGCACAUAUACUAAAACUGGAACGAUACAGAGAUUAGGAUGGCCCCUGCGCAAGGAUGACACCCAAAUUCGUGAAACGUUCCAAAUUAUU